AACGAACGCUGGCGGCAUGCCUAACACAUGCAAGUCGAACGAGACCUUCGGGUCUAGUGGCGCACGGGUGCGUAACGCGUGGGAAUCUGCCCUUUGCUUCGGAAUAACAGUUAGAAAUGACUGCUAAUACCGGAUGAUGUCUUCGGACCAAAGAUUUAUCGGCAAAGGAUGAGCCCGCGUAGGAUUAGGUAGUUGGUGGGGUAAAGGCCUACCAAGCCGACGAUCCUUAGCUGGUCUGAGAGGAUGAUCAGCCACACUGGGACUGAGACACGGCCCAGACUCCUACGGGAGGCAGCAGUGGGGAAUAUUGGACAAUGGGCGAAAGCCUGAUCCAGCAAUGCCGCGUGAGUGAUGAAGGCCUUCGGGUCGUAAAGCUCUUUUACCAGGGAUGAUAAUGACAGUACCUGGAGAAUAAGCUCCGGCUAACUCCGUGCCAGCAGCCGCGGUAAU
rnacentral:rRNA from 1 species